rnacentral:rRNA from 1 species
GUGAGGAAUAUUGGACAAUGGGCGCAAGCCUGAUCCAGCCAUGCCGCGUGCAGGAAGACGCAUCUAUGGUGUGUAAACUGCUUUUGUACGGGAAGAAACACUCCCUCGUGAGGGAGCUUGACGGUACCGUAAGAAUAAGGAUCGGCUAACUCCGUGCCAGCAGCCGCGGUAAUACGGAGGAUCCAAGCGUUAUCCGGAAUCAUUGGGUUUAAAGGGUCCGUAGGCGGUUUAAUAAGUCAGUGGUGAAAGCCCAUCGCUCAACGAUGGAACGGCCAUUGAUACUGUUAGACUUGAAUUACAAGGAAGUAACUAGAAUAUGUAGUGUAGCGGUGAAAUGCUUAGAUAUUACAUGGAAUACCAAUUGCGAAGGUAGGUUACUACUUGUGGAUUGACGCUGAUGGACGAAAGCGUGGGGAGCGAACAGGAUUAGAAACCCUAGUAGUCC